GCCGCUAUAGCUCAAUGGUAGAGCAAUCGCAUCGUAAGCGAGAGGUUGGAGGUUCAAGUCCUCUUAGCGGCU
rnacentral:tRNA from 1 species